rnacentral:tRNA from 1 species
AAAAUCCGUCGACUUUAAAAAUCGUGAGGGUUCAAGUCCCUCUAUCCCCACUCCCCAAAAAG